rnacentral:lncRNA from 1 species
CCCGCCACAUGGACGCGACAGGUCGGGGGCGCUCCGAUGGGCUGCGGAGGGGCAGCGCGGCUGCGGGAGGGCCUUGGCCCGGCGCGUGGGGAAGAUGCCGGGCCCGCCGUGGCAUCCUGGCGUCAGAGGUGAUCGCGGUGCCUGAGGCGGCUGGUGACGGCCUCAGCUCAGCGGCGUGGGGCAGGGUCGUUUGAUGUUUUGGAGCUCGCUCAGCCCGGGGCCUUUCCUCCUGACAGACGCGAGGAAUUACUUGCUUAGUGGAAAAAGCCGAGAGCUCAUGAGUCCCCAGUGGAUUCAGUUUCCUUAAGGCCUGAAUCGCAGGGGAAGCACGUCUGAGUGUGGAGCUGAGAUGAGUCAUUCCCUGAGGAUUUUGGUGCUGCAGUGGAUGACUUCGUCCUUCUCCAGCGCUUUCUUAAACACUUGGGAUGGAAGAAUCAUCCAUUCUGUGGAGUUCUCUUGAGAAGACUGUCAGGAUGAAU